rnacentral:siRNA from 1 species
UUAAAGGGCUUUUAAAGAUUUACA